AGAGAGAGACAUGCGCGCAUAUCAAUAAGCGGAGGAAAAGAAACUAACAAGGAUUCCCUUAGUAACGGCGAGUGAAGCGGGAAGAGCUCAAAUUUGAAAUCUUCAAGGUUCUACCUUGACGAAUUGUAGUUUAUAGAAGUGUUUUCUGUUAGUGGAGUGGCAAAAGUUCUUUGGAAUAGGACAUCAUAGAGGGUGAGAAUCCCGUAUUUGGUCAUUCCUCCUAGCGUUGUGAUACACUUUCAACGAGUCGGAUUGUUUGGGAAUGCAGUCCAAAAUGGGUGGUGAAUUUCAUCUAAAGCUAAAUAUUGGCGAGAGACCGAUAGCGAACAAGUACCGUGAGGGAAAGAUGAAAAGAACUUUGAAAAGAGAGUUAAACAGUACGUGAAAUUGUCAAAAGGGAAGCGUUUGACACCAGUGUUGUUUUUCCGAAAAUCAAUUACGAAUGUUUUGUUUUUGAGGAGUUAUGACUUCAUCGGCUUGCUUCUUUCUUUACGAAACUUUCUUAAUGCACUUUUCGGUUAACAAGUCAACAUCAAUUUCUUUUGUUGUAAAAGGGUAUGAGGAAGGUGGCUUUCUUUUCGGAGAAAGUGUUUAUAGCCUUGUACCUCUGCAAUCGGAGAGAUUGAGGUCUGCAGCGUAGAUCCUUCGGGGUUAGAUACAUUUGUGCUAAGUUAUAGCUUUUCAUAGACAACUUGUUGACUAUGUUUAGUCUUGUAGCUUACUCGCUUAUGCUAUUUUACCUACGCUUAGGAUGUUGAUCUGUAGUGCGUGCGC
rnacentral:rRNA from 1 species